CCCCAUGUCAGAUUUGCUCUAAAUGCUUUGGCUUUUGAGUUAUAAGCCAAAAACUGCAUUUUACCCCUAUGUUCUAUUUUUAGCCAUGGCGGCCAUUUUGGUUGGUUGGCCGGGUCACCGGACACAUUUUUUAAACUAGAUACCCCAAUGAUGAUUAUGGCCAAGUUUGGUUAAAUUUGGCCCAGCAGUUUCAGAGGAGAA
rnacentral:lncRNA from 1 species